ACGCGCUGAACCUUACCUACCCUUGACAUGUACGGAAGCCACGAGAGAUCGAGGUGUGCUCGAAAGAGAGCCGUAACACAGGUGCUGCAUGGCUGUCGUCAGCUCGUGUCGUGAGAUGUUGGGUUAAGUCCCGCAACGAGCGCAACCCUUGUCAUUAGUUGCUACAUUUAGUUGAGCACUCUAAUGAGACUGCCGGUGACAAACCGGAGGAAGGUGGGAUGACGUCAAGUCCUCAUGGCCCUUAUGGGUA
rnacentral:rRNA from 1 species